rnacentral:tRNA from 1 species
GGAUUGUGGCUCAGCGGUAGAGCACUUGUCUAGCAUGUGCAAGACCCUGGGUUCAAUCCUCAGCACCA